rnacentral:rRNA from 1 species
CGCGGUAUAUUGACCGUGCAAAGGUAGCAUAAUCAUUAGUUUUUUAAUAGGGGACUGGUAUGAAAGGUUUAACGAAACAUAAACUGUCUUUAUAAUUUAACUUUUGAGUUAAAAGGCUUAAAUUUUUUUGAGGGACGAGAAGACCCUAUAGAGCUUUACAUUAUAUUGUUUUGUUGGGGUGACAAACUUUACAUUAAAUUUAUGGAUCCAAUAUUAUUGAUUAUUAGAAUAAGUUACCUUAGGGAUAACAGCGUAAUCUUUUUUCAGAGACCAAAUUUACAAAAAGGCUUGCGACCUCGAUGUUGGAUUAAGAUUAUAAUUAGGUGCAGUAGCUUAAUAAAUAGGUCUGUUCGAC